GACCUGUGGCAGCCGUCUUGCGAAAAUGAGGCAAUAAGUGCAGAAUGAAAGCCAACUCGCCCACGAUAGGGGAGCAGAAAGGCAGCAACCGCCCAGAUGAAGAGACCACAGUGUGGCCUCCUUGCAGCUGAGAGCAACCUAUGCAGUGUCAGAUGCUACUGGGUGGGGCUGCCUGCAAAGUUCUAGAAAGGCCAUCACGUGUGGCACUGUCAAUCCUUAAGCCAAUGGCAUGAAGUAAGUACAGACGAGAAAACUGAAGACCUGACAGAUUAAGCAACUUUCCCAGGGCCGCAGAGCCACAGAGUGACAGAAUGAAGACGUUGGUUGCACAGUCCUGCUCCAGAGCCCACCCCCUGAUCCCUUCUCUGCCACUUCUCCUCAAGCCUAAACCUUCAGAAACGACUGCUGCCUAAUAAUGAAGGAAGCCAGGGUGAAAGAGAGUAGAAAAGACACUGGGAGAAAAGAAAUGGGUCUGAGAACAUCGAGGCCCCUGGAUCCAGCUGUGCCUGAAACCAGACCUUCUGAACUUGGAAAUUAUUUGAGUCAAUAAAUUGCCUCUUUGUUAACA